AGAGUUUGAUCCUGGCUCAGGACGAACGCUGGCGGCGUGCCUAAUGCAUGCAAGUCGAACGAGAUUAUGUUGCGAUACUUCGGUAUCAAUAUUUAUGACAGUGGCGAACGGGUGAGUAACGCGUGAACAACCAACCUUUCACAGGGGGACAACAUCUGGAAACGGAUGCUAAUACCGCAUAAGACCACACUAUCGCAUGAUAGAGUGGUAAAAACUCCGGUGGUGAAAGACGGGUUCGCGUUCCAUUAGUUAGUAGGUGGGGUAACGGCCUACCUAGACGAUGAUGGAUAGCCGAGCUGAGAGGCUGAUCGGCCACACUGGAACUGAGACACGGUCCAGACUCCUACGGGAGGCAGCAGCAAGGAAUAUUGUCCAAUGGGGGAAACCCUGAGACAGCAACGCCGCGUGAAGGAAGAAGGCCUUCGGGUUGUAAACUUCUGUUUUAAGAGAAGAAACAAAUGACGGUACCUUAAGAGGAAGCCCCGGCAAACUACGUGCCAGCAGCCGCGGUAACACGUAGGGGGCAAGCGUUGUCCGGAAUCACUGGGCGUAAAGGGCGCGUAGGCGGUUUAUUAAGUUGAAUGUGAAAUCCCAGGGCUUAACCCUGGACCUGCAUUCAAAACUGGUAGACUUGAGUAUGGCAGAGGUAAGUGGAAUUCCUAGUGUAGCGGUGGAAUGCGUAGAUAUUAGGAGGAACACCAGUGGCGAAGGCGACUUACUGGGCCAAAACUGACGCUGAGGCGCGAAAGCGUGGGGAGCAAACAGGAUUAGAUACCCUGGUAGUCCACGCCGUAAACGAUGAAUACUAGGUGUAGGGGGUAUCGACCCCCUCUGUGCCGCAGCUAACGCAAUAAGUAUUCCGCCUGGGGAGUACGACCGCAAGGUUGAAACUCAAAGGAAUUGACGGGUCCCCGCACAAGCAGCGGAGCAUGUUGUUUAAUUCGAAGCAACGCGAAGAACCUUACCAGGGCUUGACAUCCUCAGAACCUUCUAGAGAUAGAGGGGUGCCUUCGGGAACUGAGUGACAGGUGGUGCAUGGUUGUCGUCAGCUCGUGUCGUGAGAUGUUGGGUUAAGUCCCGCAACGAGCGCAACCCUUAUGUUUAGUUGCCAGCAUUAAGUUGGGGACUCUAGACAGACUGCCGGUGAUAAACCGGAGGAAGGUGGGGACGACGUCAAAUCAUCAUGCUCCUUAUGUCCUGGGCUACAAACGUGCUACAAUGGCCAUUACAGAGGGCAGCCACGUCGCAAGGCGGAGCGAAACCCAAAAGGUGGUCUCAGUUCGGAUUGGGGGCUGCAACCCGCCCCUAUGAAGUUGGAGUUGCUAGUAAUCGCGAAUCAGCAUGUCGCGGUGAAUGCGUUCCCGGGGAUUGUACACACCGCCCGUCACACCAUGGAAGUUAGUGGCACCCGAAGUCAGUGACCUAACCGCAAGGAAGGAGCUGCCUAAGGUGAAACUAGUGACUAGGGUGAAGUCGUAACAAGGUA
rnacentral:rRNA from 1 species